CGGACGACCUCGGGGUGCCGGAACCGACCCGGCUGAGAUGCGAUCUUCGCGAACCCGCUGAACCUGACCCGGUUAAGACCGGCGGAGGGAAGGUGACCGGAACUCCC
rnacentral:ncRNA from 1 species